rnacentral:lncRNA from 1 species
AUGCCACGCGAAGGUUUGAACCAGAGGGGCUCCAGGCCCGAAAGAGUUCAGUUCAGUGCCGAGAAAGGCGGCUCUCCAGGGAGGGGCGAGGGGCUUCCUGCCUCAUUUGGCACCGAGGGGGUCAGGGGGCUCGGGGGAGCCGUCCGGGGGGCUGGGGGCGGGGGGCCAGGGCCCCCCGUUUGGCACAUGGUGGGGGAGGGGGAGGGGGAGGGCCCAGCCUCGGGGGCCUCCCCGGAGGCGGCGUCUGUGGUGGUGGCAGUGGCUCCGUCGUCCACAGAGGAUUCUAUUCUCAGCCCCUCUUCUGGGGGUGCAGGGGGGUCAGGUCUUCGGGGAGUCAGUUCUCCACGGGGCCUGAGGAUGGAGGGAGUGGAGAGAGAAACAGAGUUGUUACGGAAGGGCUCGGGGCCUCGGGCUCAUCGGGAUGAAAAGAACACCCUCUCCAUGGCCCCAUGGUCUGCUCUGUCCCUUCGCUGUCCUUGUUCACUCCCUCCCGAGACCCACUCUGCUCCAGCCACAUUGAUCUCCACCUUGCUCUUCCUCCUGCAAGCCAAGCACGGACUUGCCCCAGGGCCUUUGCACUGGCCGUUCCCACGGCCUGGCCCUCCCUUAGCCCUUCCCAUAGCACUCAGGCCUCUGUCACUAGAGCCCCACCCCCAGGGGCUUUCUCAGGCCGGCUGUUCAGUCAACCAGUCACCCCCAGCUCCUCCCCACUGCACACCCCAAGUCAUUCUAUCUCAUUGCACUGUAGUUAUUUCUCUUCAUGUUCUCUGGGCUAAUCUUGGUCAAUGUCAAAGCAGGUCCUGCCUGCUUGCCCCACUAGAAUGGAAGGUCAGAGAGGACAGGACUGUGUUUAGUCACCGCCACAACCCCAGCAUCCAGCAGUGCCCCGUACAGAGAACCACCCCCCCAAUUUUUUUUUUUUUUUUUUUUUUGCUGUUUUAGGGCUGCACCCGAGGCAUAUGCAAGUUCCCUGGCUAGGGGUCGAAUCGGAGCUGCGGCUGCCGGCCUACACCACAGCUCACGGCAACACCGGAUCCUUAACCUCCAAGUGAGGCCAGGGAUCGAACCCACAUCCUCAUGGAUACUAGUCAGAUUCGUUUCCACUGCACCACAAAGGGAAACGAAUUUUCCCACCACUCCUCUCCCAGUGGAAGGAGAGCCUCCCACCCAUGCCACAGAUCCAGAAAACCAAGGACUGUGGGGUGGGGGCUCGCACCCAGGGCUACACACUGGGCACCCCCCCCCACCUCCACUUCUCACCUGAAUGGCCUGGGGAAGGUCACUGCCCUCACUCCCUGUCCUGAGCCCCAUCGUUCUUUCUCCUCCUAUGGGGAGCAUGACCCUCAUGUUCCUUUCAAAGAAGUAGGGACAGAAGUUCCUGUCGUGGUGCAGUGGUUAACGAAUCUGACUAGGAACCAUGGGGUUGCGGGUUUGAUCCCUGGCCUUGCUCAGUAGGUUGGGGAUCUGGCGUUGCCGUGAGCUGUGGUGUAGGCUGCAGACGCGGCUCAGAUCCUGUGUUGCUGUGGCUCUGAUGUAGGCCGGCGGCUACAGUUCUGGUUCAUCCCCUAGCCUGGGAACCUCCGUGUGCCAUGGGUGCGGCCCUAGAAAAGGCAAAAGGACAAAAAAAAAAAAACCAAAAAACAAAGAAGUAGGGAAAGUCUGGGGUGGGGUAGGGCGUCCCUCAGCACCCGGGGAAUGUGAAUGAUGCAGGCAGAGCCACGCCAAGCACGGGUCUAAGGAAGAAGGAGGCUCUCCUUGGGCCCCCACGCUGCGAUCUCAGGGACACCGGCUCAGCAGCUCCCCAGCCCAGCUGCAGCAGGAUAGCUAAGUUCUGAGUAAAGGGAUUCAGGGGUGCUGCACGGUUGCGCCCUCCCUCUCCUCUCCUGGUGAAUAAAGAUCAAGUCAUCUGUGAUCGCCA